CAACUCACCUGCUGAAUCAACUAGCCCAGAAAAUGGAUGAGGCUGGAGUGUCGGGCCUGCAGCUGGCCGUCGCCGGCAGUCAGG
rnacentral:miRNA from 1 species